UGGGGAAUAUUGCACAAUGGGCGCAAGCCUGAUGCAGCCAUGCCGCGUGUGUGAAGAAGGCCUUCGGGUUGUAAAGCACUUUCAGCGAGGAGGAAGGUGGUGAGCUUAGUACGCUCAUCAAUUGACGUUACUCGCAGAAGAAGCACCGGCUAACUCCGUGCCAGCAGCCGCGGUAAUACGGAGGGUGCAAGCGUUAAUCGGAAUUACUGGGCGUAAAGCGCACGCAGGCGGUUUGUUAAGUCAGAUGUGAAAUCCCCGGGCUCAACCUGGGAACUGCAUUUGAAACUGGCAAGCUAGAGUCUCGUAGAGAGGGGUAGAAUUCCAGGUGUAGCGGUGAAAUGCGUAGAGAUCUGGAGGAAUACCGGUGGCGAAGGCGGCCCCCCUGGACGAAGACUGACGCUCAGGUGCGAAAGGCGUGGGGCAGCAAACAGGAUUAAAUACCCUGGUAGUCCACGCUGUAAAGCGAUGUCGAUUUUGGAGGUUGUGCCCUUGAGGCGUGGCUUCCGGAGCUAACGCGUUAAAAUCGACCGCCUGGGGAGUACGGCCGCAAGGUUAAAA
rnacentral:rRNA from 1 species